AAACAGCAUUCAUCUUCUUGCAAUCAGAGGUCUAAGGAAUAAAAUAAUUGGAAUUUCAAAACGGAAGUGCUUGUAUUUCCAUAGUCCUUUCCUUCGGGACGUCCCAAAGUGGCUUACAGUUAAGGUUGGAUACUAAUGAUGAUUUCUGUGCUGCCACCUCCUCGGCUGAGUCGAAGGAUAACUCCUGGUGCAUUGGACUGUCCUGUGGCGUUAUUGUUUCCAGUCUGUAGUAUUCUGCACCUGUGAGAAAACUAGGACACAAUUCAUUUGAAUGGCUGAAAGCAAGCAAUUCUGUGUGGUACUUCGGUUGAUACCAACAUGACACAUCCCGUUAAGACUGUUAGAAGAAAGAAAAAAAGGAGAGAGAAAACAGGGAAUGGGAACUAUAACUAACAUCAGCAAUAUGGAAAUUGUUGGAAUCUGGUAUCAGCAAUGUGAUAACAAGAGCUGGCCACCUUCUGGAUAAUUGGAGCAAUGUUUGUUGGUCCAUAAAGCUGGAUUUUUGGAAGGCACUUCUGAUAGGCUUCAACAACUCCCUGUAUACCUUGGAA